GGGGAUGUAGCUCAGCGGGAGAGCGCGUGGUUUGCAUCCAUGAGGCCAGGGGUUCAAAUCCCCUCAUCUCCACCA
rnacentral:tRNA from 3 species